GAUGAAGAACGUAGCGAAAUGCGAUAAGUAAUGUGAAUUGCAGAAUUCAGUGAAUCAUCGAAUCUUUGAACGCACAUUGCACUCAUUAGUAUUCUAGUGAGUAUGCCUGUUCGAGCGCCAUUUCAACCCUUAAGCCUAGCUUAGUGUUGGGACUCUACCCUAACCGGUAGUUCCCCAAAAUCAGUUGGCGGAGUUCAGUCGGCUCUGAGUGUAGUAAUUUUCUCUCGCUUUAGAAGUCUUCUGGAUUACGGCCAGAAAGAGACGAGUCUCGCAUCUCGGUGCGUUUCUCAACUUUUUUUUACAAUGGUUGACCUCGGAUCAGGUAGGAAUACCCGCUGAACUUAAGCAUAUCAAUAAGCGGAGGA
rnacentral:misc_RNA from 1 species